UGAAGUGAAGCCAACAUGGCACUUGACUGUUAAUUAAGACCCUGCUAAAAAUUAGCCACUUCAG
rnacentral:tRNA from 1 species